UACAGAGGGGGCAAGCGUUGUUCGGAAUUACUGGGCGUAAAGAGUGUGUAGGCGGUGCUCUAAGUUCGUUGUGAAAUCUCCCGGCUUAACUGGGAGGGUGCGGCGGAAACUGGAGUGCUUGAGCGCGGGAGAGGAAAGCGGAAUUCCUGGUGUAGCGGUGAAAUGCGUAGAUAUCAGGAGGAACACCUGUGGUGUAGACGGCUUUCUGGACCGUAGCUGACGCUGAGACACGAAAGCGUGGGUAGCAAACAGG
rnacentral:rRNA from 1 species